AGAGUUUGAUCCUGGCUCAGAACGAACGCUGGCGGCAGGCCUCAAACAUGCAAGUCUAGCGGGCGUAGCAAUACGUCAGCGGCGGACGGGUGCGUAACACGUGGGAACGUACCCUUUGGUUCGGAACAACUCAGGGAAACUUGAGCUAAUACCGAAUGUGCCCAGCAAUGGGGAAAGAUUUAUCGCCAAAGGAUCGGCCC
rnacentral:rRNA from 1 species